UACGUAGGGUGCGAGCGUUAAUCGGAAUUACUGGGCGUAAAGCGCACGUAGGCGGAUUUGUAAGUCAGGGGUGAAAUCCCGGGGCUCAACCUCGGAACUGCCUUUGAUACUGCAAGUCUUGAGUCCGAUAGAGGUGAGUGGAAUUCCUAGUGUAGAGGUGAAAUUCGUAGAUAUUAGGAAGAACACCAGUGGCGAAGGCGGCUCACUGGAUCGGUACUGACGCUGAGGUGCGAAAGCGUGGGGAGCAAACAGG
rnacentral:rRNA from 1 species